GCCGCUAUCGUCUAGUGGUUAGGACACCAGGUUUUCAUCCUGGUAACAGGGGUCCGAUUCCCCUUAGCGGUA
rnacentral:tRNA from 1 species